UCCCGCGACUUGUACAGAGGGCCCUCGCGAGUCGUCUGCGCUCUGCAAACCCCUCUCCGCGUCUGACCUGCAUAGUAGCUCCACGCCUGCACUUUAUGCUGAUUGGCUUCCUCUCUUGGCUUCACCCGAUGAUGGACCAUAACCACCUGGGGACAGAUGAACAAAACCAGCUCUCGUCUUGCAAGAACUCAUGGUCUUAGUGAAGACAUAAAGAGGGAUUGUCCAUUCAGUGGUCUAUUCCAGACUGAUGGAUGGUUUUCUUUUAAGGAUCUCAGUAUCUUUGCUGUCCAGCAUCUUCCAGGUGGCGUCUAUGUGGUCUUCUCCAAACUAUAUUUCAUCAUUUAGAAGAAGAGCUGCUGUGGGUUCAGUGAAUUGAGCUUGGCCACUAAUGGAUCCUUGGGGAACAUUCCAAGGAAUCAGGAGUAUGAGAGAGACGCACAUCAGGAGAGAGCCAUUUGUGAUGUUUCUACAGAACUUGCUAAGUCCCUUUUCUUCGUGCGUGUUCUGAAUGGUGUGGUGAGGCCUGGAGAGCAAGGCUGGAAACCGUUGGGGAGACCUUUCUCAAAAGGCCGCUCAGUCUCCGUACCCUGUUUUUUAUGCCCUAGGAGCCUCUCAGAACAAUGUUUGUUCCCUGGACCACACUAGAUCAGAACAUUCUGACCUUUAUUCUGACUCAGAGCUAGAAGUCUACAGUAAUAAACUGUCAACCAGAUUGACAGUCUCUCCCUCUCUCCCUCUCUCUCCCCCCUCCCCCUUUCCCUCCCUCCUUCCCUCCCUCUCUCUGUCCUUGGCAAACGAGUCAUUAACAUUUCAUUGGUUCAUCAAAUGUUUAUUCGGUAUCUGCCUAGCACCAAGAAUUAUAUAAGGCAUUUGGAAUAGAAAAAAUGAAAGCACACUGUUCCGCCUCACUAGCUGUCCAUGCAGGAGCAAAUGUGGACUAAAGGUCACAGUAAUGUGGGCUUUCCAAAGUGUGUAUGCUGAGGAUUUGGGGGUUCCUGAGGCUGUUUGAAGGGGUCUGUGAGGUUGAAAACUUUUUUCAUAGUAACAAUAAGGCAUUGUUCACCUUUCAUUCUAUCCCAGAACUACAUUCUCAGUAUAUGCACCCCCAGAGAAACUUUCAGGCUGCUCGGCAUGGCUAUCAUAUUUUGUGGAAGCAAAUAUAUGUGAAGUCAGACAUUAAAUAGACUUACAAAACUAUAGAACAAUGCCAAAUAUAACUAUAGUUCAUAAAAAUGUUUAAAUUAAUAUGUGUUUAUUAUUAAUUAAAAAUAAGUUACUAAGUUUCCUUUCUUUUCUUUUGAGACAGGGUUUCUCUGCGUAGUUCUGACUAUCCUGGAACUUACUCUGUAGAUGAGGCUGGACUCAAAUUCAGAGAUCCACCUGCCUCUGCCUCCCAAGUGCUGGUAUUAAAGGCCUGUGCUACCACUGCCCAGCCUAAUUUCUAAUAUAGUAAAUAUCAUUGCAGUUCUCAAAACAUUUUUUAAAACAUCUUUUUAAUUUUGAGACCACUGUACACUGGCAUGUAAUUGUAAGAAACAAUACCACUACCACAAAAUUGGUGUGGAUGCAAUCCACCUACCUUCUCCAGGUUCAUGUUUAACGUGUGUGUGUGUGUGUGUGUGUGUGUGUGUGUGUGUGUGUGUGUGUGUGCGCGCGCGCGCAGUAUGUAUGGCGUGCUUGCUUAUAUUCAACAACUCACCAGCAACUCAUCUCCCUUGUUGGCUGUAUAUGAACACACAUGGAAUACCAUGAGAAAAUGCCUUACUCUAGCUGGCUGAGUCAUUUAACAUCCCCAGCAGUUUAGAAGAGAGACAUUCUCAUUUGUCUCCCUAUUCUCUACAUCUCACCAACGUUUUGAGUUCUCUCUCUCUCUUUGAAAAGGUCCUGGUCACUAUAGGAGACUCCUCACUGCCUUUAACUUGCAUCGCCCUAAUGUGUAAUGGUGCUGAAAGUAUUUUCACACGCUUACUUGGCAACUAGAUAUUUUCCAGUGCAGUAACUUCUUAGAGCCUUUGUCCAUUUUCUGAUUUGAUUGCCUUUAUUUUAAUUUUGAGAAUUCUUUGUAUUGAUGGGAUUUCAGCACAUUGUCAGAUACACGGUUUGCAAGCACUCCCUUUGUUUCUAACCCUUUCAUAGGAUCUUUUUCAGAACAAAAGGUUUUCACUUGGAAUGGUCAAUUUUCAUCAUUUUUUUUUUUUUUUUGGUUUUUCGAGACAGGGUUUCUCUGUGUAGCUUUGCGCCUCUCCUGGAACUCACUUGGUAGCCCAGGCUGGCCUCGAACUCACAGAGAUCCGCCUGGCUCUGCCUCCCGAGUGCUGGGAUUAAAGGCGUGUGCCACCACCGCCCGGCAUUCAUCAUUUUUUUUUUAAUAGACUACGCUUUGGGGGUCAUCUAGCAACUUUCAUCCAGUCCUACCUCCUGAAGAUCUUCUCCCAUUGUUUUCUAAGUAUAGUGACAAAUUUACACCUAAUCUUUGACCCAAUUUGUGUUAAUUUUUGUAAGGUUUGAAGUUUAAAUUGAGGAUCAUAUUUAUCUAUGAACAUUGCUAUGGUUUGGAUAUGUCCCUCAAAUUUCAUGUGUUCAAAAUCUCUAGAAGUCUGACACCCCCACACAAACAUAUGUGCAGACAAAACACCAAUGCACAUAAAAAUAAAUAAUUUUUUUUUUUGGAGCUGAGGACCGAACCCAGGGCCUUGUGCUUGCUAGGCAAGUGCUCUACCACUGAGCUAAAUCCCCAACGCCAAAAUAAAUAAUUUUUUAAAAGGAAGAAAAAGUGAGCUAAAUACUCGCAUGCAUACAGCAUUCAUUAAUUCAUUGCUCUAUGCUUUUGGCUGUGGAUGUAACUUAACUAGCUACUUCAAGUUCUUGCCAUGUGACUUCCCCAUAAUGAUGGAGUAUAACAUGAAAUUGUGAGCCAAAUAAACCUUUUUUCCAUAA